AUGGCUCCCACCAAGAAGGCGAAGAAGAGCGGGGAGAACAUCAACAACAAGCUGCAGCUGGUGAUGAAGAGCGGCAAGUAUACGCUCGGCUACAAGACCGUCCUCAAGACGCUGCGCAGCUCCAAGGGGAAGCUGAUAAUCCUCGCAAACAACUGCCCGCCCCUGAGGAAGUCAGAGAUUGAGUACUACGCUAUGUUGGCGAAAAUUAGCGUGCACCAUUUCCAUGGAAACAAUGUUGAUCUUGGAACAGCCUGCGGCAAGUACUACCGGGUGUGCUGCCUCAGCAUCCUUGACCCUGGUGACUCGGACAUCAUCAGCACCACCACCACCACCCAGUGA
rnacentral:rRNA from 1 species